rnacentral:rRNA from 1 species
CCUACGGGCGGCUGCAGUGGGGAAUAUUGGACAAUGGGCGAAAGCCUGAUCCAGCCAUGCCGCGUGUGUGAAGAAGGCCUUCGGGUUGUAAAGCACUUUCAGUGGGGAAGAAAGCCUUGGGGCUAAUACCCUCGAGGAAGGACAUCACCCACAGAAGAAGCACCGGCUAACUCCGUGCCAGCAGCCGCGGUAAUACGGAGGGUGCGAGCGUUAAUCGGGAUUACUGGGCGUAAAGCGCGCGUAGGCGGUCUGAUAAGCCGGUUGUGAAAGCCCCGGGCUCAACCUGGGAACGGCAUCCGGAACUGUCAGGCUAGAGUGCAGGAGAGGAAGGUAGAAUUCCCGGUGUAGCGGUGAAAUGCGUAGAGAUCGGGAGGAAUACCAGUGGCGAAGGCGGCCUUCUGGACUGACACUGACGCUGAGGUGCGAAAGCGUGGGUAGCAAACAGGAUUAGAUACCCCAGUAGUC